UGCCUCCAGAAAGGGUUGAGAAGAUAAUGGAUCAGAUUGAAAAGUACAUCAUGACUCAUCUCUGUAAAUAUGCGUUCUGUCCAGAACCCCAGUGAGCCUGGAAGACUGGGUGCUAUGGGAAAUGUCAUCAAUCCAAUGCUAGUGAAAGAUGUGACUGGGGAAUGCUGAAAAAUGCGCACCCCUGGGAGGAAUGAGGAAAGAUGACAUCCACUGACUUGUUAUUUUUUUGAGAAGGAGUCUUGCUCUGUUGCCCAGGCUGGAGUGUGGUGGCACGAUCUCGGCUCACUGAUGAUGAGAAGAAAGAUCUUGCCAUUCAAAAGAGGAUCAGAGUGGAAGCUUCUCUGUGGUGUCAGAAAGACGAGGAAUGUGGUGACCUCACCUAUCCAUCUCCCUCAAGGCAGCUUUUGACCUGAACUGGUUAUUUCCUACUUGCCUCCUGGAGUUGCUAAUAAAAUAAACACUAAAGCUUCGCAGUUUCUAAAAAGACCAUGAAGCCCUGAGAGUAAUGAAAAGGUUCCUGAAAUUGAGGUCACUGUGGAAGGAGAAUCUAAUGCCUGAUGAUCUGUCACUAUCUCCCAUCACCCCCAGAUGGGACCAUCUAGUUGCAGGAAAAGAAGGUCAAGACUCCCAGUCAUUCUACAUUAUGCCUCAGCCAAGAUGUCUCACCCCACUCUCUCUGAUGCAACAAGAAGCCCCUGGAGAACGUUUCAGUCCCAUUUUGUACUUCUGUCAUGUGCUCAUCACAGUCUG